rnacentral:rRNA from 1 species
UGAGGAACCUGCCCUUCUCUUCGGAAUAAGCGUGGGAAACCGCGUCUAAUGCCGAAUACGACCUCCUUUCGCAUGAUCGGAGGUGGAAAGCUCCGGCGGAGAAGGAUGAGCUCGCGGCCUAUCAGCUAGUUAGUGUGGGUAAUGGCCCACCAAGGCGACGACGGGUAGCCGGCCUGAGAGGGUGACCGGCCACACUGGGACUGAGACACGGCCCAGACUCCUACGGGAGCAGCAGU